GGGUGAGUAAUGCCUAGGAAUCUGCCUGGUAGUGGGGGAUAACGUUCGGAAACGGACGCUAAUACCGCAUACGUCCUACGGGAGAAAGCAGGGGACCUUCGGGCCUUGCGCUAUCAGAUGAGCCUAGGUCGGAUUAGCUAGUUGGUGAGGUAAUGGCUCACCAAGGCGACGAUCCGUAACUGGUCUGAGAGGAUGAUCAGUCACACUGGAACUGAGACACGGUCCAGACUCCUACGGGAGGCAGCAGUGGGGAAUAUUGGACAAUGGGCGAAAGCCUGAUCCAGCCAUGCCGCGUGUGUGAAGAAGGUCUUCGGAUUGUAAAGCACUUUAAGUUGGGAGGAAGGGUUGUAGAUUAAUACUCUGCAAUUUUGACGUUACCGACAGAAUAAGCACCGGCUAACUCUGUGCCAGCAGCCGCGGUAAUACAGAGGGUGCAAGCGUUAAUCGGAAUUACUGGGCGUAAAGCGCGCGUAGGUGGUUUGUUAAGUUGGAUGUGAAAUCCCCGGGCUCAACCUGGGAACUGCAUUCAAAACUGACUGACUAGAGUAUGGUAGAGGGUGGUGGAAUUUCCUGUGUAGCGGUGAAAUGCGUAGAUAUAGGAAGGAACACCAGUGGCGAAGGCGACCACCUGGACUAAUACUGACACUGAGGUGCGAAAGCGUGGGGAGCAAACAGGAUUAGAUACCCUGGUAGUCCACGCCGUAAACGAUGUCAACUAGCCGUUGGAAGCCUUGAGCUUUUA
rnacentral:rRNA from 1 species